rnacentral:rRNA from 2 species
AGGACGAACGCUGGCGGCGCGCCUUACGCAUGCAAGUCGAACGGUCCGACUUUGUCGGACAGUGGCGGACGGCUGAGUAUCGCGUGGGUAACCUGUCCGGUGGCGGGGGACAACUUGCCGAAAGGCGAGCUAAUACCGCGUAAGUUCCCCGGGUGAAAGCCCCGGGGAAGAAAGCAGCAAUGCGCCAUCGGAGGGGCCCGCGUCCUAUCAGGUUGUUGGUGAGGUAACGGCUCACCAAGCCGAAGACGGGUAGCUGGUCUGAGAGGACGACCAGCCAGAAGGGGACUGAGACACGGCCCCUACUCCUACGGGAGGCAGCAGCGAGGAAUCUUGGGCAAUGGGCGAAAGCCUGACCCAGCGACGCCGCGUGAGGGAAGAAGGCCCUCGGGUCGUAAACCUCUUUUGUCGGGGAAGAAGUUCUGACGGUACCCGACGAAUAAGCCACGGCUAACUACGUGACAGCAGCCGCGG